rnacentral:lncRNA from 1 species
GCUAAUGAAAACAGAGUGAUGAGCAGAGCAGUGGCUAGAUCUUCAGUUCAAUUCUUCUGUUGUUUGUAUUAAUAGAUGACAUCUUCUGAAAAUUUCUUAAUAAUUAUAUUUGGCAUUUAAGAAACAAAAUACAAUUGUCUUUUCCUAUAUUUUUAAGUCUAUUUAAAUUUUUGACUUACAAGCUAACUUAUCUUUAUUUCUCUAAUCCUAGGCAUCCACUAAAAACAGUCUCUAUUAGUGUAUAUUUUGCAAGUAAUCAAAAUCACAGUAACUGAGGAAAAUUAGGACAAGCCUAAUAGUAGCCAAGCUCUAAAUAGGCUUUAAAAUAAAAAUAGGAUAUGUGACUCAGAAUACAGUACUAGUUCUUCAUCUUACAGAUGUUCUCAGCCAUCGGAGUCAGCGUGGGCUAUGACACUGGGCAUUCAUUGGAAUCAGCUUCGAUGGAGGAAUAACUGAACCACUGUGUAUACAGACAGAUCAUAAAGCGGUGAACUGGGCUAUUGAAAUACUGAAGCUUUCCCAAAAAACUUUUGCCAUAUUUAUUUAUAUAAUGCAAAGUAAAAUAGUAAUAUCUUUCUUUCAAAAAA